AUAAUCUGAGUGCGGAAGCGAAAUAAAAGAUUAAGAUUAAUAUCCCUUAUAAAAUAACUUAAAAGUACUAAACAUAUCACGAAAUAAGUUCUCUAAAAGAAAUACGAGAAUUAAGAAAAAUAAAGAAAACUAUAAGUUAUCUAGCAUCUACUUGCUGUCUUCUUGUGGAUCAGGCUCGGGAACCAGGUCUUCCUAAUCUGAAAUGGUUAAAUAAGGAAUGAGUUACACUAGCCCAGUAAAGACAUCACACUAAUCACCGUCACAGAAGUAAAAGUUGGUAGAAAAUUAAAACAACCAAUGGAGCAGUAGAUUUAAACAAAUUCAUUUAUCAAUAAUCAAACCAUUUUUUGUCCACUUACCGCAAUGAGAUUUAUAAAAAUAACCUAUGGAAACAAUAACAUUAUAAAUAUCAUGAAUUCAUAUAUAAUCUGUAACAUAGCACAUAUCAUACUUUUAUAUUCAAAUCGUCAAACAACAAUUGCCCCUUUUUAUCAGCCUACUAGUAUCCAUGGGGAUCCAUAGGGGUCCCCGCUACACGUGAACCAUUCCCCUUAGCAAACUUAAUUCCAGGGCCGUCCCCAUACCCCGUCCGGUAUGAACGCCAAAAUAAUAAACGUUAAUACCCCGUCCGAUAUGAGGGUGAAGUGGGCCGCCCCCAUACCCCGUCCAGUAUGAGAGCCAAAACCAUAAAGUCUCCAUACCCCGUCCGGUAUGAGACAAAGUUCAAAGUAGGGUUCCCUAUGAACCUGGUCCAUCCACCAUCUCCCAGGAUAUCUAGUGAGGCUGUCAUCUUAUCCAUUUAUCAAAUCACAACCCUUUCCUAUUUUUCCUUAGUCUCCAUUACCAACCCAAACAUGAAUACAUAAACAAGUAAUGUGCAUCCAACAAAGCAAGCAUAUCUUA
rnacentral:lncRNA from 1 species